AUUAUUUUGGCAGAUUUAAGUGUAGUAGAUUUAGAAUCUUAAGAUGUAAUUUAUAUUACAAAUAAUA
rnacentral:tRNA from 1 species